rnacentral:rRNA from 2 species
AUGGAGCACGCCGCGUGAGUGAAGAAGGGUUUCGGCUCGUAAAACUCUGUUGUUAAAGAAGAACAUAUCUGAGAGUAACUGUUCAGGUAUUGACGGUAUUUAACCAGAAAGCCACGGCUAACUACGUGCCAGCAGCCGCGGUAAUACGUAGGUGGCAAGCGUUGUCCGGAUUUAUUGGGCGUAAAGCGAGCGCAGGCGGUUUUUUAAGUCUGAUGUGAAAGCCUUCGGCUCAACCGAAGAAGUGCAUCGGAAACUGGGAAACUUGAGUGCAGAAGAGGACAGUGGAACUCCAUGUGUAGCGGUGAAAUGCGUAGAUAUAUGGAAGAACACCAGUGGCGAAGGCGGCUGUCUGGUCUGUAACUGACGCUGAGGCUCGAAAGUAUGGGUAGCAAACAGGAUUAGAUACCCUGGUAGUCCAUACCGUAAACGAUGAAUGCUAAGUGUUGGAGGGUUUCCGCCCUUCAGUGCUGCAGCUAACGCAUUAAGCAUUCCGCCUGGGGAGUACGGCCGCAAGGCUGAAACUCAAAGGAAUUGACGGGGGCCCGCACAAGCGGUGGAGCAUGUGGUUUAAUUCGAAGCUACGCGAAGAACCUUACCAGGUCUUGACAUACUAUGCAAAUCUAAGAGAUUAGACGUUCCCUUCGGGGACAUGGAUACAGGUGGUGCAUGGUUGUCGUCAGCUCGUGUCGUGAGAUGUUGGGUUAAGUCCCGCAACGAGCGCAACCCUUAUUAUCAGUUGCCAGCAUUAAGUUGGGCACUCUGGUGAGACUGCCGGUGACAAACCGGAGGAAGGUGGGGAUGACGUCAAAUCAUCAUGCCCCUUAUGACCUGGGCUACACACGUGCUACAAUGGAUGGUACAA